rnacentral:lncRNA from 1 species
CUAAAUGCUUUGGGUUUUGAGUUAUAAGCCAAAAACUGCAUUUUACCCCCAUGUUCUAUUUUUAGCCAUGGCGGCCAUCUUGGUUUGAUGGCCGGGUCACCGGACACAUUUUUCAAACUACUAACCCAAAAGAUGAUUGUGGCCAAGUUUGGUUUAAUUUGGCCCAGUAGUUUCAGAGGAGAAGAUUUUUGUAAAAUAUUUUCUAUUAAGAUUUACGAAAAUGGUUAAAAAUUGACUAUAAAGGGCAAUAACUCCUAAGGGGGUCAAUUGACCAUUUCAGUCAUGUUGACUUAUUUGUAAAUCUUACUUUGCUGAACAUUAUUGCUGUUUGCUGUUUAUCUCUAUCUAUAAUAAUAUUCAAGAUAAUAACCAAAAACAGCAAAAUUUCCUUAAAAUUACUAAUUCAGGGGCAGCAACCCAACAACGGGUUAUCCGAUUCAUCUGAAAAUUUCAGGCCAGAUAGAUCUUCACCUGUUUAACAAUUCUACCCGAUGUCAGAUUUGCUCUAAAUGCUUUGGUUUUUGAGUUAUAAGCCAAAAACUGCAUUUUACCCCUAUGUUCUAUUUUUAGCCAUGGCGGCCAUCUUGGAUGGUUGGCCGGGUCACCGGACACAUUUUUCAAACUAGAUACCCCAAUGAUGAUUGUGGCCAAGUUUGGUUUAAUUUGGCCCAGUAGUUUCAGAGGAGAAGAGUUUUGUAAAAGUUAACGACGACGACGACGACGACGACGACGGACGACGGACGACGACGGACGACGGACGACGACGGACGACGGACGCCAAGUGAUGAGAAAAGCUCACUUGGCCUUUUAGGCCAGGUGAGCUAAAAAUGAC